AUUGAACGCUGGCGGCAGGCCUAACACAUGCAAGUCGAGCGGCAGCGGAAAGUAGCUUGCUACUUUGCCGGCGAGCGGCGGACGGGUGAGUAAUGUCUGGGAAACUGCCUGAUGGAGGGGGAUAACUACUGGAAACGGUAGCUAAUACCGCAUAACGUCGCAAGACCAAAGAGGGGGACCUUCGGGCCUCUUGCCAUCAGAUGUGCCCAGAUGGGAUUAGCUAGUAGGUUGGGUAACGGCUCACCUAGGCGACGAUCCCUAGCUGGUCUGAGAGGAUGACCAGCCACACUGGAACUGAGACACGGUCCAGACUCCUACGGGAGGCAGCCGUGGGGAAUAUUGCACAAUGGGCGCAAGCCUGAUGCAGCCAUGCCGCGUGUAUGAAGAAGGCCUUCGGGUUGUAAAGUACUUUCAGCGGGGAGGAAGGUGUUGAGGUUAAUAACCUCAGCAAUUGACGUUACCCGCAGAAGAAGCACCGGCUAACUCCGCGCCAGCCGCCGCAGUAACAC
rnacentral:rRNA from 1 species